GAAUAAUUGUGCGAAAGUUUCAGAUCGACUUGGUGUAAGAGAAAAAAACAUACACCCACUUUAUACCAGACAGACAGACAGACAGACAGCCAGAUAGAGUGAGUUGAUAUAAGCUUUGUAAAAAGGUGUUACAAGACAAACAAAAUGCUAAUUUCAAAGGCCAAAUGUCAACGUUAUGUAAUCGUGUAUUGUUAGUUUACUAGUUCAAUGUAGUCAAAUUUUAAAAUAUAUAUAUAUUAUUGACU